CCUACGGGGUGCAGCAGUGGGGGAUAUUGGGCAAUGGGCGCAAGCCUGACCCAGCAAUGCCGCGUGAAGGAAGAAGGCUUUCGGGUUGUAAACUUCUUUGACAGGGGAAGAGCAGAAGACGGUACCCUGAAAACAAGCCACGGCUAACUACGUGCCAGCAGCCGCGGUAAUACGUAGGUGGCAAGCGUUGUCCGGAUUUACUGGGUGUAAAGGGCGUGUAGCCGGGAAGGCAAGUCAGAUGUGAAAUCCGGAGGCUCAACCUCCGAAUUGCAUUUGAAACUGUUUUUCUUGAGUACUGGAGAGGCAGACGGAAUUCCUUGUGUAGCGGUGAAAUGCGUAGAUAUUAGGAGGAACACCAGUUGCGAAGGCGGCUCUCUGGACUGUAACUGACACUGAGGCACGAAAGCGUGGGGAGCAAACAGGAUUAGAUACCCCAGUAGUC
rnacentral:rRNA from 1 species